UCCACUCCUCUAGCUGGAAUUAAUGCUGGAGAAGCGAGGUGGGAAAGAAACAUUUCUCUGGUUUGACUUGAAAAUACCUUCUGCUGAAGUCCCAUCCCAAGGUCAGCACAGAUGCACUAGAGCCCGGCUUCUCCACGUCCUGCCUCUCAGAACAGCAGCACAUAGAUUUCCUAACGUGGAGAAGCCCCACCAGCCACAACCCAGCUAUUGUGGGACGGAUCUUCUCAGAGUCUGCCAUAAAUGCUGGAGCACCAGAUGUAUAUACCCAUUCCUUUCUCAAAGACACCAGUGUCCUAGGGUGAGACAGAGGGACAAUGAAAAUAUGGUGCCCACUGGACCCCCAUCCUGGUCUCUGCAGAAGAUGAUAGUUGGCCUCCAGAUGUGGGUUUAACUGGAAGCCAGCUCCUAAG
rnacentral:lncRNA from 1 species